GACGAACGCUGGCGGCGUGCUUAACACAUGCCAGUCGAACGGAGAGGCCCUGCUUUUGUGGGAUGCGCGAGUGGCGAACAGGUGAGUAACACGUGAGUAGCCUGCCCUUGACUUUGGGAUAACUUCAGGAAACUGGGGCUCUUACCGGGUAGGAGCUCCUGCUGCAUGGUGGGGGUGGGAAAGUUUCGGCGGUUGGGGAUGGAAUCGCGGCUUAUCAGCUUGUUGGUGGGGUAGUGGCUUAACAAGGCUUUGACGGGUAGCCGGCCUGAGAGGGUGACCGGCCACAUUGGGACUGAGAUACGGGCCAGACUCCUACGGGAGGAAUGAGCGGGGAACAUUGCACAAUGGGCGGAAUCCGUAAGGAGCAACGCCGCGUCGGGGAUGACGGCUUGCGGGUUGUAACCCGGUUGCGCCUGUGACGAAGCGUGAGUGACGGUAAUGGGUAAAGAAGCACCGGCUAACUACGUG
rnacentral:rRNA from 1 species